GAUUCUGUCGGAAUAUCACAAACUACAAACGCGGUAUGAGGAUGCUGUGCCCAAAGAAACACUGACUGAAUUUGUGAACACGUACUUCUCAGAUCCUGGAGAUGAGUUCAUACAAUGGGCGCCUACGGAUAUACCUCGUAUACCAUCAUUCUUAGACAACGUCACAGAUCCCUUACUUUAUGACUUUGGAUGGGAUCUAUGUAAUAUUUGGAAAGAUCUCGGGCGAAAGAUAAAGCCCGAUUUGUUGAACAAGAGUGAUAGAUACUCUUUACUCUACUUGCCGAACCCCUUCAUAGUACCCGGUGGGAGGUUUAGAGAGACAUACUACUGGUGAAGGAUCUGUACGAGAGGAUAUUUCCUGAUAGUCUGCCAUUUUAUGUGCCCAGUAGACAAGUAACCAUUUCCAACAGUGUAAUACAGGCAGGACACUCAUUUCUCUGCCGUGAAGAGUAUGUGUCAAGGGAGACAACUCGGUCACUGUACCUCCUUCACCACCUCCUGGAGCGUAUGGAAGCUGUGAUGAAGUGCGUCCAGAUGAACUGGAUGCCCAUUCUUGUGGGGCCUCAGUCCUGUGGUAAGACCAGCUUGGUCCAGCUACUGUCCAGUUUGACCGGCUAUCACCUACAUGUUCUAGCAAUGAACUGUUCCAUGGACACCACAGAACUACUGGGCAGAUUUGAAGAGGUUUAGUACUCCAGUUAUCCAUUGUACAAUCUGUCAAUUUGUUAUAAAGUUAAUGCAGCAAUAUAUUAUAGUUUCCUAUUGUAGGGACUGAAAA